UGUUAGAUCUCCAGCGCCGGUAGUGUCUAUUUCUUUAUUGCUGACACGUUUGCAUCUUUUCGUUUGUCAACGUCGCAAACGUCUCAAUUCAUUACUCGCAUUUGAUGUGUUUCUUUAUUAUCUGUAGACCGAGCCGAGAAGGUUUCUGUCUACUGCAAUUUGCGUGUUUACAUCGUUAUUGUAUCGCCUGGCGUUAGAGCCGAAAUUAUAAAUGUGCACAGCUAGUUUGCUGUUGCAAUGCGUUACUUCUAUGGCGAUUUAUCGUUAGGAAAGCUGUAUCAUAUUAUUUAUAGUGGGCUAAUUAUGGUUUUCUUUGUUUCAUGCUUAUUUAACUUGCUAAUAGUUUAAAAUUUGCUGCAUUGAACUCUGGAUUAUUGAACUGCAAUUUGUGAAUCUGUCCUGCGUUUUGAUUGUUUUGUGAACAAUUCUUGUGUUCUGCAGUUACAUAGAAGAUUCGAUAUAUUGUUGACCUUGGCUAAAAACAGUCGAAAACCUCUCUCUCUCUCUCUAUCUCAACUCAAUCUAUCUGUAUUCGUCAUCUGUUACCGUGAUCUAUUUGGCUCCAUCUGACAUCUCGAUUUUAUAAUUUAUGCUGAGCAAGUGCUUGAUAUUUCCACGACAUAUUACAAUUCUCCUGUGUUUGAAGUUGUGUAUUGUGGGCUUGUGGACUUCAGCUUGCUUAUCUCAGUUAUAAGGCAGGGAUAAUUUGGAGAGGAUUGUCUGGACCAAACAUAGACUGAUAUUGCUGUAUUGGGAUAGACUACUAGAGCGUUUAGACUGGAAAAUAUUGGCGCACGGUUCAGCGCCCUUCGUCUUUGUGUAGCAAGCAGGGUGCAUAAGGUCACACCCCGUCAAGCUUCU